AUGCACGCUGGCGGCAUGCCUAACACAUGCAAGUCGAUCGGUAAGGCUCUUCGGAGUACACGAGAGGCGGACGGCUGAGUAACGCGUAGGAACACACCCUGCAGUGAGGGAUAAGACACCGAAAGGUGUUCUAAUACCGCAUACGGUCUUCGGAUUAAAGCAUUUAUGCGCUGAAGGAGUGGCCUGCGUCAUAUUAGAUAGUUGGUGAGGUAAUGGCUCACCAAGUCGAUGAUGUGUAGCUGGUCUGAGAGGAUGAUCAGCCAGACUGGAACUGAGACACGGUCCAGACUCCUACGGGAGGCAGCAGUGAGGAAUAUUUCACAAUGAGCGAAAGCUUGAUGGAGCAAUGCCGCGUGCAGGAUGAAGGCCCUCGGGUUGUAAACUGCUUUUAUAAGAGAAGAUUAUGACGGUAACUUAUGAAUAAGAGACGGCUAACUACGUG
rnacentral:rRNA from 1 species